rnacentral:rRNA from 1 species
UACGAAGGAUCCGAGCGUUAUCCGGAUUUAUUGGGUUUAAAGGGUGCGUAGGCGGUUUUGUAAGUCAGCGGUGAAAUCUUCGGGCUUAACCCGGAAAUUGCCGUUGAUACUGCAGAACUUGAGUACAUCUGAAGUGGGCGGAAUAUGACAUGUAGUGGUGAAAUACUUAGAUAUGUCAUAGAACACCGAUUGCGAAGGCAGCUCACUAAACUGUAACUGACGCUGAGGCACGAAAGCGUGGGGAU